rnacentral:lncRNA from 1 species
CUGAAGAGCUGAGCUGAGCAAGCAGAGAGCAUCGCUGUGUCCCACACAAUGGCUUGCCUUAAUGUAUCAAAUUCAUACCAAUGGAUGCCUCAGGGCUCCCUUAGGGUUAAUAAAAUCUUCUCUAAUAUGGUGUUGUGACAUCAUCUGCUGGUUCAUAUAUCCUUUGUGAUCAGCUAGGAUUUUUAAAUAAGACUAAAUCUCACUCAUCCAGAAAUGUUAGACCUUAGUAAACAUGGGCAUGUUUGGGAGAGUAGGGCUGGUUGUGUUACUCUACAACAAAUGGUCCUUUUCUUUUGGAAAGGAGAAAAAUGCAUACUUGGAAGUAGGCUGAAUUUGAAGCACUAAUUCCCCUCAUUUUUCUGUGUUUUAUCUACUCAAGAAGUAUUCUAACCAAGAAAAUCAAACACAUCUAAUCUUCAAAGAAAAAAGUAGCCAGGUGAAUGUCCUCACAUGUGUGGCCAUGGACCCAAGCUGGCUUCUCCCACCAGAGUGUUGGGACAGAAUUACUCUGUAAAGACUUCACUAUUUAGGAUGGAUUCACACAUUUCACUUCCCAGUAGCUCCAGUGGAAGAAAAUGGUUGCCCUGGAACGAAGGCAAGUGUGCAACUAAAGACAUCUGAGAGAAAAAGGAGCCUACCAUCUGCCCCAAGGCUCAGAAAAAGAGAAGAUACCAUAUGUGGCCUGACUAUUUUUUUCAUAAAGAAAAGGAAAUGUUAUGAAGUAAUUCCUGCACUGCAGAUGUUAGUCCAGCAAAGCUUUCAUCAGAGCAAGGACCACCUCUCCCCUGCCUUCUUGCAUGAUUACAAGCUUUGAUCUUAGUCUGGGAGCCUUACAUCUCUGCAGUUGACUCCAGUUAAAAAAUACUCCAUCCAAAUAUUGCAACAAAUGUUUAGAUUAAAACCAAAAAUCCCUAUAUCUGCAAAUUUGCACUCAGCCCCCUGCUUUCUUUGAAGAAAAUUUCAAUCCUGUUUCUUCCUGGGCUCUGAUGGGUGGCUCCUGGUUAAUCUCUGUCUGUCUCCCUGGUAACAGUCAAAGGAGAGGACACAGAGGUGGGCAGGGAGCAGCCUCCAGCCACUGUUCCUCUUAUCACAGUCCAUCAGCAGGUGUCCCUUGCUCAUAUCCAGGAACAAUAAAUACAGCCUGUGGCUAAGGGAACCA